rnacentral:snRNA from 1 species
GUGCUCGCUUCGGCAGCACAUACACUAAAAUUGGAACAAUACAGAGAAGAUUAGCAUGGCCGCUGCCCAAGGAUGACAUGCAAAUUUGUGAAGCAUUCCAUAUUUUU